rnacentral:lncRNA from 1 species
UUUGCAUACCUAAAGGGAAAUGGCCUCUUUAAUUUCUUUCCCUUCUCCUAAUCAGCUGAGGCCUAUUAAGAAGUGCUCUGUAUCCUGUAAUCAGACAAUUUAUACAGCAUGCACCCUUAGGCAACAGCUAUUAUAAACAAGCUGGAGAAAUCCUUUACAAUAAAUGAUUAGCAUGGGAAGACACCAUUCAUAAUUAAUUUUUUUUUCUGUUUUUGUUGGCAGAUGGUCCGAGGCAUCCAAGCAUGGCCUAUUGCCUGUGUCUUUAUUCUGAACAGAACAGGGCAGCCUUGGGAAAAUGCUGGCUGCUCAGCUAGCUCACUUAAAAAAAAUCACGUAAGCACUCCCUCUGCUCCUCUUAUUGGUGUUCAAGGCUUGAAGAGAGCUUUAGGGAAGGGUGUCUAAUGGAUCACAUGACUGUACCUACUGGUCCUUUUCCUGCCUUGUUAAUUACAAGGUGUUAUGAUCUUCACCACAGAUUGAUUACAUAAAGGGGAUCAUUUCUUCAUCCCCACCAUUUGCCAUGUAACUUUGUCAUGCCCUGUAUCUCUGACUCUGGCCUCUGUCAUUGACUUGCUGUGCCAAUGUUAGCAAAUGUGAAGCACACACAGGCUUGAAUAGCACUGUGCAACGGGACUUGUUAACACUUACCUUCUACUGUUGCUACAUGAACAUGCCCAGGCUAGCCUGAUGGAUGAUGAGAGACAUGUGGAAUAGAGCAGAGUCACCACAUUCAUCUCAGCUGAGACCUUUCUAGAUGGGUCAACAGCCCUCUACCCCCAGACGUGUGAGCCAGCCCAGCCAAGAUCAGCCAAGUCCAACCUGAAUAAUUGAACACUGAGGUCUUGUUGCAGAAUAAAAGUGUAUUAUUGUAACCCACAGUGGCUUUAUGAUUUUUAAUUAUGCAGCAGUAUUGUGGCAGCAGAUAAUUGAUACAGCCCUCAAAUGGAUAAUCUCUUUGGGUAUGGAGAAACAGGAUUUGGAAACCCAUAAGUGUAAGCC